rnacentral:rRNA from 1 species
AGCAGUCGCGCGGGAAUACGUAGGUCCCGAGCGUUGUCCGGAUUUAUUGGGCGUAAAGCGAGCGCAGGCGGUUAGAUAAGUCUGAAGUUAAAGGCUGUGGCUUAACCAUAGUACGCUUUGGAAACUGUUUAACUUGAGUGCAGAAGGGGAGAGUGGAAUUCCAUGUGUAGCGGUGAAAUGCGUAGAUAUAUGGAGGAACACCGGUGGCGAAAGCGGCUCUCUGGUCUGUAACUGACGCUGAGGCUCGAAAGCGUGGGGAGCAAACAGGAUUAGAUACCCCAGUAGUCCCUGUCUCUUAUACAC